rnacentral:rRNA from 1 species
AUAUCAAUAAGGCGAGGAACAGAAACCAACAGGGAUUCCCCCAGUAGUGGCGAAUGAAGAGGGAAAAGCUCAAGUUUGAAAUCUGAUGGGUGACUGUCAGAGUUGUAAGCUGAAGAGGUUUCGACCGAUGUGGCCCAGGCUCAAUUUCCUUGGGAUAGGGAGUCAUGGAGGGUGAGAACCCCGUUCAUGCCCCCCGUAGCAGCUUUCAGCUUUCGAAGAGUCGAGUUGUUUGGGAUUGCAGCUCUAAUGUGGUGGUAAAUUCCAUCUAAAGCUAAAUAUUGGUGGGAGACCGAUAGCGCACAAGUA